rnacentral:rRNA from 1 species
UACGUAGGGGGCCAGCGUUGUCCGGAAUCAUUGGGCGUAAAGCGCGCGUAGGCGGUCAGGUAAGUCCGGUGUGAAAGUCAAAGGCUCAACCUUUGAAUGCCGCUGGAUACUGCUUGACUUGAGUCCGGAAGGGGCGAGUGGAAUUCCUGGUGUAGCGGUGAAAUGCGUUGAUAUCAGGAGGAACACCCAUGGCGAAGGCAGCAAACUGGGCAUCAUCUGACGCUGAGGCGCGAAAGCGUGGGUAGCAAACAGG